rnacentral:lncRNA from 1 species
CAAAGAAGAACAAAGGAAGAAAAGAAAGAACACGAACCCUAGGUGAAGAAUUUCAAGAGAAAAAGUGUGGAAAAUCAAGGAAAACAAGUGAAAAAGGUAGGAUUUCUGAAUUUAAACUUGAAAUCUAUUUUCCUUAAGCAUUUCUCCUUAUUUUCCAUGGUUAAAUUCAUAUUUUCAUGGUGAAUUCAUGGCUAGCCGAAUCGGUAUGGAGAGAGAAUGAUCUUGGAUUGAUUUGAUUUCAAGUUAUGUUAGUGUUUUUAGUUAGUUUAUCAUGUCUAGAAGUAAAACAACAAGAAAAGAAUUCAUUUUCCCCAUCACCCAUCAAUGGCCUAACCUACCAUGUAUUGAGUGAGGAUGAAUUUGAUUUUUAUUUUAAGAGAAUUGGUUAGAAAAUGAUGAAUUAUGGUGUGAAAAAAUAGUAGGAAAAAUCACGGUGUUGAUGCACCAUUAUUGACAAAAAAUUCUAAGAAGAAAAGUGAAGAUGGAUUUGCCAAAUUUUAGGUUAUUUGACUUAUGUUUGGUGAAUUAAGGUAUUGGAAAAGAAAUGAAGCAAUUUGGAGCUAAAUUGGAUGCGUUGGCCAAUUAAUCGGGUAAUAAGAUGAAUUAGGCCAAUAGCGAUUUAAUUAGGGACCCAAAUGAAUUUGUGUAGAAUACUGUGUUUAGACGGUAAUCCGAACAAUUUGCAUCCCAUAUCAUACAUUAGUAUAAAGCCUGAAUUGGUUUUAUAACAAUUUAGCACAAUGUAGUAAAUGGCUUAUUGUGCAUUAUGUCUAGGUGGGGAGCAUCCUAGAAAAAGUAAAAAGAUAGUACCCGAGGAAUCAAGAAUUAGAGUACUUGGAAUUCGACUCCCGAAAUAGUAACCUUACUAUCAUCUUAAUUAUCUAAAUUGGUUUUUAUCCGAUUUUAUGAUUUUUAUGGAAAAUGAAUUAAAUGAUUAAUUUUUUCAGUUUUAUAAACAAAAUGUGAUUUAAUGAAAUAAUUUCAUAAAAUUGUUUUAAAAUUGAAUGACGGCUUUUCAAAUAAAGUAAUUGGAGACCAUUUGAUGUAUUGUGAAUUUAUGGUUCUAAUUGAUUAGCUUAUGAUAAUAUUAGCAUGAAUGGCUGAAUUGGUAAUUGUGUUGAAAUAUAUGAACUGUGUAUUUAGCAUUGAAAGGCUGUGAAUUAUAAUAAUUACCAUAUCGUGUUAUUGAAUUUUAUUGAUUUGUGGGAUAAUUAUUAGCUUACUACAGUGGGCGGGUUCCGUGGAUCAGCCUAUUAGAGGGGCACAGUAACCUCGUUAUAUUCUUACCUCAAUAUGAGAGGCGUGGGUGGAUAACUACUGAGGUUAACACUUUAGAGUUCACUUCACGCCAAACCACCACGAGAGGGUGAACUCAGCCAAUGCCAAGGAACGGUUAUGUUUUCAAAACAAAAAUAUGAUUUAUGCGUACAUAACUUUUUACAGCCUUGGCGGACUCGGUUGGGAUAGCCCUCGAUCAAGGUAUCCCUGAUAACUAGGUAUGAGAAUGAUUUUGGCACGAGCCAAAGCUUUUAAGAAAUUCAUAAGCCAUGUUGAUUACUCGAUUUAUAUAAAUUGAUUUUAUUUGGUUGAAACAAGUUAAAAGGUGAUGAAUUUCAGUAUGUUAAACUAUUUUAUCUAUCUCUAUUUACUCGGCUUUAGAUAUUUUAGAUGGUAUUUGUUUACUCACUAGGAUUAUAUAAUCUCACCACCCUCCUUUCCACCCAUUUCAAGCUCAGAAUAGAUUGUAGAUAACUAAUAUCGUCGAGGACUACAGUUGGACUUGCCACAUCCAAAAACUAUAGGUUCAUUUCUUUUAAUACUUUUGGUCGUUCGUGGGCCCACUUGUUACUGUAAAUUAAAUUAAAUACUCUGACUUACUGUAUUACAAUAUAUAUGAAUUUGUUUUGUUUUUAGGCUGUAAAAAUUAUUUAUGCAGUGUUCUAAAUAUAUUAUUUUAUGAGAAAAUUCAAUAUUUUAUUCAAUAUUUUUAUUUUAUUCUAAUAAUCAUAAUUUCAUUUUAAAUGAAUGUUUUAGAUGUUUAAAUUUAUUUUUGAUUAUGAAUUAUGUGUUUUGUACUCGUAUACUACAUUUUUAAUAGAUUUUGAGAUUUUUGAGGAAAAAUGACCAAAAUGCCCCUAUGAGAAAAAAUUAUUUUUCUAUUGUUUUGAUUUGGAAAUAAUUUAAAAUCUUUUAGAACAUGAUAUUUGGCAACGGUUACUCACAAGGGAAAUGAGAAGUUGAUAUUAAAGCCUUGCAUGGUUCCGAUUGACAUUCCAGGUAAUGAGUGUCGAUCGAGACAUCGCGACGGUUGUCACGGGCUCUAGGGGAGUUUCAGGUCGUGACAUUUAUAUCUAAAGUUUAUCCAUUUCCCACAUAAAUUACCAAAAUGCCCUUAACAUCGUGACUUUGUCUUCCUCCCGUCCUUUGUGCAACCUUUUACUUUUUCGACACUACGACAAGGUCCAUAAUAGUCUAGAAAUACUUGGGUUCACAAAAACAUAAAAAUUUAGACCCGAGAUGCAAAAUGACCACUCUACCUCUAUUGUGGAAAUUAUCAUUAUUUUUAUCUUUGUCAUUUAUUUACCAUCAUAAACAUCAUUUAUUCAUUCCUUAAGCCUAUUUAGACCUUAAUAGCAUAAAAAAAAACCACUCAUAGGAGCUCACCAAGAGAAAUUACGAAAUUACCCCUUGUUUGCAUUAUCAUGUCUACUUCUAGUUAUGUGUCUAUGGAGAUUGAGAUUUCAUAGAUUCAUUUCUAAAUUACCCUUUUUAAUUGGGUAAUUCACGUCAAUUGGCAUCAGAAACUUUAUUAGCUAUCGUAUCAAAAUACGAGGUAUUACAUAACAUUAAUGCAAGUAUUUGAUUACUGUAACACAUUAUUAAAGUACUUGUAGGUUGGAAUUAUGAAAUGUGACUUUAGGAACAUUUGAUAGAAUGAUGAACAGGUUAUAUAAAUAGGUUUGCUUGGGCUUAGUAGGGUAUGCCCAUUGGGUCCAUGUGCCGGUCAUGGCCCGAAAAUUGGGUUGUGAUAAGCAGCUGCUGAAAGAGAGCAGGAUCUCUUAACAAUUCAUCACCCUUUUGAUCGAGUUUCGUGAUCUAUGGAAGGGUAUGAACUUAUUAAUGUCGAUUCUGAUUGAGUUCUUUUAUCUUUGACUUCUAUUUAAUGCUUUAACGAACGGGUGGUUUUUGUUGGGCUGCUUGCAGUGGUGUUGGCUCGAUCCCUAGGGUUUUUUGUUUUUUUCUUCAAUUUUUUUUAUUAUGAUGCUGUGAAGUCAUGUUUUGUUUGCCUUGCUUUUUUUGUUCUAGCUAGAAUAUUUGGGAUUCAUCUUUCGUAUAGGUGGGAUUGAUUUUUAGAUUUUGGUCUCAUUUGUUUUAUGUAAGUGAGUUGGUCUAUAUGUAUUAAACUCAGAUGGGUCUUGGUCCAUUAUUUUUUGCUGUUUCAUUGGACCUUUUGUCAAAUGAUGUUUGAGAGUGUUGUCUUGCUAAAAUAAGUAUUUAUCUUAUUUAGGAUGAAUAUUUAUGGCCGCAUUUUUGUAAAUCUUGAAGGAAUGAAUGUACAUAUUUUGCCUUUCAAAAAAUUUUUAUUGAAUUGUUAAACAUUUUAACAAUUGGUUUAUCUCUUUUAAAAGUUUAUUUUGUGAAAAUGAUUUUUAGAAAUUCAAUUCACCCUCCACUUGGAUUAUUCAUUUUAAAUGAGCUAGCAUAAUUGUGGCAAAUGUAAAUUACAAAUAAGAAAUUGGCAUUGAAGCUUCAUACAAAUGAGUUAGACUAGUUUCAACAAUACUUCGAUGCUUUGUUUUACAAUUGCAUUGCGUUGAGGUGUACGAGGUGGUGUUUGUGGGUGUUGUAUGCCAAAUAAGCCAAAGAAUGAUUUUGUCUUAAUGAAUUCACCACCACAAUUAGAAUAGAUGUGCACAAUUUUAUCUUAACGAAUUCACCAACACAGUUAGAAUAAAUAGACACAGUAGAUGACUUAAAAGUAAUUUUCAACAAGAUUUGUAAACUUCGGAAACAAAUAAACAUUGGCCAUGUAUUUCAAGGGAUAAAACCAAAUAAUCUAGUGAAAUGAUCAACAAAAGAAAUAUAACAUUUGUAUCUUUUAGUGUUGGGAAUUUUGGUAGUUCCCUAGACAUUAGUGUAUAUGAUAUCUAAAGGUUCUCUACUAACUAAACUAGACUUAUUAAAAAGAAGUCUUGUGGAUUUUAUCGCAACAACAAGCAUCAUAUGAAGUAAUGGCAUUGGCUAUAGAAUAAGGUGAUGAAUUCCAUUUGAUUAUUGAUUGAAAUGAUUGAGAUGAAGGAUGUCCAAUUCUUUGAUGCCAUGUAUAGAAAUUUGUUUUAAGCCAUAAGAGUGCAAAUUUUGGUGGAAAUAUUAGAGGCUCAAUCUAUUGGAAUACAUCAACUCCGUCUUAAUCCAAACCUUAAGCAAGUGGUCUCCUCGUAUGAAAAUCCUUCACCAAGAAAAAAGAAGGGAAGAACCAACAAACACAUUGUUAGAAUCAUUAAAAUAAGAAAAUGAAGUAAGAUUGGAUUUUACUUUAGGAACGGAAAGGAAAUUAUUCAAUGAAAUAGAGUGAGCGUAAGGGGUGAUAGAACUGCAACUAAAGUGAGAUCAAGGGCACCACCCCUCAGUUUUUUUUUUUUUUAUGUAUAAAAGUCAAAAUAUAUUACUUCGCCACCCUUAAACAAAUCAAAAAAAUUGAUUUGGAGUAGUGGUAAGGAACUUAUGCUAAAUUUUGAAUGCCCAAAUUCAAUCCCUUCUAAGCCAAAAUUUUAGAAAAGAAAAUUAUUUUUCUUUUCUUUUUUCCCUUAUUUUUCUUUUCAUUUUUCCCUUUUUCCUUAGCUCAAAUUUUUGAAUUUCUUUUUUCUUUUUUUCUUUUUUGUUCCUUAGCUCAAAUUUUGAAUUUAGUUUUCUUUUCUGUCUUUUCCUUUUUUUGUCCUUAACUCAUCUAGGCCCAAUUUUUGAAAUUAUUUUUCUUUUUUUUUUUUCCUUAGCUCAGCUUUUCUUUUUUUUCUCUUUUUUUUUGUUCUUAACUAUAUCCUAAAAAUGGAUUUAACUAUUCAAGAUUGAUGACAUCUGCAAGCUUGCUCAAAAGUUCUACCUUAAUUACUUCACUCAUCAAGAAAAAUUGCAUAAGAGAUAUGAAUUAUAGCAUUUUGAACUUGAUAUUAAGUGAGAUCCAUGUUUGCAAAGUGUUUCAACUAUUUCAAAGCUAUGCCAGUUAAUAUUAAAGGUGGAAAAAUCAAUUGUAUAUCUUCUCCUAAAUCAUUUUAUUCCCUAUAAAAUAUGAAUUGGAGCAUUUUGAACUUGAUAUUAGGCCAGAUCCAUGUUUGCAAAGUCUUUCAAUCUUUUAGAGCUAUCCCAGUUAAUGUAAAAAAAAAAAUUCAAUUGAAUAUCCUUUCCUAGAUUGUUUGAUUUGACUUAUCUUAAUUCUUCCAAUUUCUAUAGCAACUACAAAACGUGCAUUUUCAAUUAGGAAAAUUGUAAAGACGAAGUUGCAUAAUAAGAUUGAAGAUGAUUUUAUUGCAAGUUCACUAAGGAAAAUUGUAAAGACGAAGUUGCAUAAUAAGAUUGAAGAUGAUUUUAUUGCAAGUUCACUAAUCUUUUACAUUGAGAAAGAGAUUGUCAAGAUCAUUGACACGAGUUUAGUCAUAGAUGAAUUCAAAAGCAUGAACCACAUCGAGUUUAGCUUACGAUAACUAAUGUUAAAAUCUAAUGUUAAUUUUUUUCUGCUUUAUGUCUAUUUUUAUUGGUGAAUCUAAAAGCUUAUAUUUAAAUUGUUAAUGAAAUUUUAUCUUAUAAUUUUAUUUUAUUUCAAAAGUGAUUAAUUUUUUGAGCCAAAUCAAAUCAUUGACCCUAUCUAUGACCUUAUAUGAUUACUUGUCACCCCUCAUACAAAAUCAUGGAUCUGCCAUUGUGUGAGAUAUUGAUAAACAUGUGCCAUCACCAACAAAGAUUUUAUCUAGGCCACCAUAUGUUGGUAUAUGCCCUUGAGCUAGUUGAAUUGGUCAAUGAAUAUAUAUUGCCAUUCAAUGCAUACUUUAUCGCAUAACUAUAUGUGAUAGAGGUUUUCCUUCAUGUUAGGGUAAUAAUAAGGAGUUAUUAGGUACUAAUUGGAUGAAGCCUGUGGAAUAUAAAGGCUUCGCAGGAGAAUUGUAAAGUUGUUACAAUUAUGAGAUCACUAUGCAUUAAAGCCAUCUUCCUAAAAUUAUUCUUGGUCAUUGUAUUGUCAAGACAGGGCGUUGAUUAUGCUCAAAGACUGGUACAUGUUAAGUCUCCUUAUUUGAAAAGUAAGCAAUCGAUCUCAUAAAUUGAAGUAUAUGGGAUACUUGAGGAUAACAUGUAGCUGCUUGUUAAAGAACAAGUUCACUAAACAUGACCCGUUAUGAAAACUCCAUUUAGUAUUUCACUCAAGUGUCUAUUGAAUAUGUUCUCAUGUGAUAAUCAUGCAACUAGUCCUCAAACUUGAGACACCAGGUCAUCUUGUAUGGGGAAUGGCAUACUUUGAUUUCAUCUCUAUGAAUCUGGACCCGACCAGAUGCCUAAACAGGGUGUUUUUGGGAAUGCCAUGAGGCAUGCGAAGGUGAAUGAGUGAUCAAGAGAGGAUUCAUCACCUCAAGUGAUAUGAGGGGAUGUAUCUCACUUGUUCUCAAUUCUUAAAUAACUUGUAUAAAGUCUUUGGCUAAAGCAUAAUGAAUUUGAGAAUAGUUAGUUUCCUAAACUCAUAAUGUUAGUCAUGAAUUAUGAAAACUAAUAUGGAAUGUUAUAAGCAGAAACUGAGCCAUGCUUUAUGACAUAUUCGAGAUAUUUGAUAAAAAAAUCGUAUUGCAUUGAGAAGUUUAUCACCGAAAGACUUUGUCAAAUUCUUUAAUUGACUCCCUAACAUUUGGAUGGUCAUGAUGUGUUGCUAGAUGUCGCUCAUGAUCUAUCAAUAUAAAUCAAUUAUCAAAUUGAUAUUUGAUUAAGAUUAUUAUUUAUUCCAAUAUAUUAGAAGCUUAAUGAGUCACACACAUUAAGUGACAUGAUUGAGAUUAAAUAAGGAUAAUCAAUUAAGUUGGAUUUAAUUAAAAUAGACCAAAUUAAAGUGGAAAGUUAAUUAAGUUCACAAAGACUUAAUUAAAUUAAAAUACAACUGUUGUAUUUAGGGUUACAACUUAGUUUCGCUAUAUAAAUAUGUUAUGUUAGCAAACUAAAACUCUAAAUCUCUAGCCACUUCUCAAACGUUUCAUAAAAUAAGAAAAGACAAGUAGUUUUUUUGGCCUGACAAAAAUAAGAUUUGGAAAGAAUUUUUGGUCUUUUUGUUUUAGAAACAAAACUUGCUAACACAAGUAAAAAAUCUUACCUUUGAGAAGGUCUUAUUCGAUCACUGUGUGGAUUACUGUUAGAGGCCAAACACUUGUUGGUCCCAAUAAUAUGAGCUAGAGGGGGGUGAAUAGCACAAAUCGACUAUUGACAAGAUGAGGAACUAAUUUCCAACACAAAGAAAAUAAAAACAGCGUAGACAAUGCAUAACAAUUUAUAGUGGUUCGGUCCAAUACCUACAUCCACUUCUUGAUUAGCCAACCAAGGAUUUUUCCAACAAUUUCACUAAUAACCAGUGAAAUUCACAAGCUUUCACAAAGCUUUACAAUGGCUUUUACAAGGCUCAGCCAAAACCUUUUACAUUAGUUGUUCACGGGCCAAACUAAAACUCAAAAUGGAUUUUCAAAGGCUCAACCACAACCUUUCACAAUGGUUUUUCACGGGUUCAACGAAAACCCAAAGUGGUUUUCAAAGGCUAAACCACAACCUACAACAAUGGUUUUUAUCGAGAUCAACCAAACCCAACAACCAACUUUUCUAGGCUAAGUUGGAACCUUUACACUCAAUCAAGCAAUCCAAGCUUGAAUAAAUCCCUUAGAGUGACUCGCUCACUCUAAGUGUACAAGAAGAGAAGAAAUAAAGAAGUGUCUAUGAUCACUUACUUGAUCUAGAUGGUACAAGAUGAAGUGCUGAACACUAUUACAAAGAUUGACGUUUAAGUGCAGUAAGGUGCAGAGAAGAUUUUCUGGUUUUUCAACUUUAUAUCACUUGGAAGCCUUCAAUUCUCUCAAAAACUGAUUUCUAACCAUUGGAAGACCCUUUUAUACUUGGAGAAACAACUCUGAUGGCAAUUUGACAGUUUAUGGUCGUUGGAAAUAGUUGAGGAUGAGUUCUAGCCAUUAAUUUGUCUUGUAGUGCUUUGGUUCAAUUUACAGACAAAGAGCUCUCAGUUGACUGACUUGGUCGACUAAGUUUAUUUUGUUUCAGGUUGCAAAUUCUGGCAAAGAGUAGUUAGUCAACUGACUUGGUCAACUAAGUUGGUUCUAUUUCUCAAACUUUUCAGCUAGCCAUUUCUCCAAUUUUUAACUUGGUCAACCAAUAUUCUUCCUUGUUUCACCAAUAGGCUUCCUCCUUGUUAGACAGUUACAUCUUGUUAUUUUUAUCCCUCUUUUUCUUUUGAUAUACUCUUUGAAAGAUUGAUUUAUUAAUUUCAUACAUUAAUUUUCCUGCACACUCAAGUAAAGGCAUUAGACACAAAUGAAUGGGAAUAUUUUGCUAUCAUCAAAAACAUAUAGAGUCAACAUUCUCUUUCUCUUAUUUUUGAUGAUGACAAAACACUCCUAGAUUAAAAGUGCAAUGUCUAUGUUCAAUAUGAAUGCUUCAAAUCUUUAUGCAUAAUGAGUUGCUCCUCCUUAGCCAAUGCAUCUAGUUUUCUUUAAAGAUUUGCAAUAAACUAUUUAUCAUAUCUAUAAUAGUUAAACAAGAUAUACAAUGCCCACAGUAGCUAAGCAAGAUAUAUUGAAUAUCCAUAAUAACUAGCACAUAAUAUUCAAUAAAAUCCUAACUAAGCAUCACACACAUAAAUUAAACAUGAAGACCUAUUUAACUUUAUUUGAUUUAGUCUUCCUUCUCUCCUUUUUCUUUUUCAUCAUUAAACAGAUAUUCAAAACUCUCCCUUAAUGAGUGCAUCAAGAUUUUCCUUUAAUCUUUAAAUCAAACUUUAAUGAAUGAGAAUCAUAAGCACUCAUACACCUAAGUCAUACAAGCUUAUAGAUAUAGUUCAAUAACUUUAAGAGUCAAGCUUGUGUCUAUGUAAGAACAAAUGUAUGUGUGAUACCCCAACUUCUAUAGGCUUGUAACUAAGUAUAGAUGUAAUAAUAUGGGCUAAGGGUAGUUUCGUCAUUUUCUUUAAUAAGCUUCCAGAAGAAAGUUUUAUGAUAUUUUAAGGCCUAAAUAGGCAUAAGACAGUAUAAAUGAUGUGUGCUGAUGAAAACACGAAGAAAACUAGAAGUUUCAACAAUUUUCAUAACAGGGGCAAAAUGGUCAUUUUUCACCUCGGGUUAAAAUUUUAAGUUUUUAUGAACCCGAGCAUGUUUAGACCAUUAUGGAUAUUGUCCAAGUGUUAAAAGAGCAAAAAGAUUGCAUAAAAGAUUGGAGGAGAGUAAGUUAAUUGGUGGAGGGGUAUUUUCAUAAUUUUAAAGGAAAUGAUAAGAUUGCCUAUAAAUACCUUGAAUUUCCAGCAGCUUCUUGAAUUUUCCAGCAGCUGGUCUUCUUCUUCCCUUCUCCUCUCUCACGUUUCUUCAAACUCCAUGGAAGCUUGAUUUUCAAACUUCCACAACUCUCUUUCUAGCUCCAAUUUUCAUGCUUUUGGUGCACCCUUCCAUAAACCCUUGUGCUAUUUCAUCUUCUCACUUCAAAAACCUUGAAAUAUCUUGUUUUCAUACUUUCUCUCACUAGUUGGGCAUUCUAGAGAGAGAAAAANNNNNNNNNNNNNNNNNNNNNNNNNNNNNNNNNNNNNNNNNNNNNNNNNNNNNNNNNNNNNNNNNNNNNNNNNNNNNNNNNNNNNNNNNNNNNNNNNNNNNNNNNNNNNNNNNNNNNNNNNNNNNNNNNNNNNNNNNNNNNNNNNNNNNNNNNNNNNNNNNNNNNNNNNNNNNNNNNNNNNNNNNNNNNNNNNNNNNNNNNNNNNNNNNNNNNNNNNNNNNNNNNNNNNNNNNNNNNNNNNNNNNNNNNNNNNNNNNNNNNNNNNNNNNNNNNNNNNNNNNNNNNNNNNNNNNNNNNNNNNNNNNNNNNNNNNNNNNNNNNNNNNNNNNNNNNNNNNNNNNNNCUACAAUCAAUUGGUGAGUGGACUACCUUCAAAACUGAUUUUGGGAAUAUGAUGGAUUUGACAAAGUGUUUGAAUGAUUUUAUACAAUUUUUCAUGAAAAUGAAUGCCUUGGGAACAAGCUUUUGAGAAAAGGUUUAUGUUAUGAAAUGUGAUUAUUAUGGAUUUCUAUGUGGCUGCAUUAUGUUGAUAUACAUAUAUGCUUGAGUAUAAUGUUGUGUAAUUAUAUUGACUCGACUAUGUGCGAGUAGGGAGUGCGCAUAAGCCGAGGAUGACCUGGUUAUGUGCGAGUAGGGAGUGCGCAUAACCCGGUGAUGACCCAGCCAUGUGCGAGUAAGGAGUGCGCAUGAGCUAGUGAUGAUGAUGAUGGGUAUAUAUAUAUAUGUGUGUGUGUGUGUGUGUGUGUGUGUGUGUGUGUAAAUAUGUGUGUUAUAGGAAAUUGAUGGAUAAUGGGUUAUGGUUGUAAUGCAUGUGAAACUUGACAUGUUAAACCUUGAGAAAUUGUUAUGUAUUUUCAUGUUGGUUUGGACCUUUUGGCAAGGUGGUUUUUCCUUUGGGAGAAAGGUAAAUUUUGCAUUGAUGCCCUGUAUUUCGUUGUAGCGAGGAACUCUUGGAUUUGGAGGGGUACACUGGCUGAAAACUCGCUGCAGGUAGGAUGCAUUUUCACUGCAGCGAGAGUGACACUGUAGCUUCUCGCUGCAGCGAAAUGCGUUCUUGCUGCAGCGAGAAACUUUCUGUUUUCUAGGUUGCAAUUUCGCUGCAGCGAGAUUCAAUCUCUCUGUAGCGAGAAACAUUCUGUUUCUGGGUAAAAAUUUCGCUGCAGCAAAAAACUUUCUAUUUUAGUCUCUUAUCUUGUCCAAUUGCUGCCCUAUCUUUCACUUUUUUGCUACCAUAUGGGAGCAUGGACUUCCAACAUUAAGGAUUAAAAGAGUUAAGUUUAAAAUGAGGUGGUUUAGUGAGAAACCCUCGGCCAGUUGAGAAACCCUUGUUCGAUUAAUAACUAAAUUCCAAUGUCGCUGCAACGAAAAUUCAUUCUCGCUGAAACGAAAAUGCCUUUCCGCUGCAGCGAAGAUUCAUUGUCGUAUUUGACUUGCUUGUGCAAUAUUGAAGCUUUCAUUGUUCAAAUGAUUCACUAUGUAUGGGUUCAUGAUUUUCUAAUGAUUAAUCACUUAAGAGCUCGAUAAAGGGUUUUAUUAGGAAUGAACCAAAUUGCAUUGUUUUGAAACUAGUGCAUCAUGAUUUUAAAUUUUCCUUUGUUGUUGCUUGUUCCCUUCCUUGUUCAAUCACUGGGUUUAUACUCACCAUUUCAAAUUCAUGUUUUUAGAUCACGAGGCAACCGGUAACUAGGACGAGGUAUCCUUGUAGACUUGUGUCCAUCUUUUGGUAGGUGUCUCCGCAUUCAGUAGCGGUACAUUCAUCCGAGUCCCUCCACUGGAAAUCGAGUCUUCUUUUUGAGAUGUAUAGACAAACUUGAUGUAAAUUAUUAAGAAUACAUGUUGUAGACAAUGUAUGUAUAUAAUAAAUGAGAAAUGCCAAUACGAGUUGGCAAUAUCUAUUACUAUUUUGAUUCUAAGUUUUGAAGAAUGACUUAGCAGUUUAUGAUGGAAAGAUAAACACGUCGGACUAUUAGGCUUGCUUGGGCUUAGUGGACUACGUCCAUUGGGCCCAUGCGCCGAUCAUGGCCCGAAAUUUGGGUCGUGACAGUAUGGGAGUUAUAUCAUUUCAAGAAAUUGUCAAGGAUUACUUAAAUAAUGUUCAAGCAAAUUUGAUCAUUUUAUCAUAAUCAAAACUAUAAUAAUAUGUAACCAAAAAGUCACCAAGUCAUCAUAUAUAUGCACUUAACCACAUGAAUAUAUACUAUAAGAAAAAUGCACGCAUAACGAUUAUGAAGUCCAACAAAGAUGGUCAUAAAGAUGUUCAAUAAUCACAUAAGCCAUGUUUGAACUCUAAUACCAAGUGUUAAAGCUCAAUAUACUAAUUGAUAGAUAUAAGUAAAAUCUCCCUUUUUGUAAAAGCACAAUAUCAAUUAUGAGAGAUGGAAUCUUUUUAAAGCUCAUUAUAUCAAUUGCUAAAGCAUAGUAAAGACUUCCCUUAUCAUUAAGAAUUCCAAGCAUAUCAACUUCAAGGCUCAAAAUAUUUAAGAAAGAUAUGAUUAAAUUUAAAGCUCAAGAGAGAAGAGACAAUUAUAAAGCUUGAUGCUAAUUUUAAAGCUAUACACUAAUUGAGAAAACUUAAGGCUUGAUGCCAAUUAUGCAUUUCAACACUCAAGUUUAAGUGAGAGGCGAUAUAAGGCACAAUUUCUAUUUUGGUGUUUAGAAAGAUGUUACCGGUAGCGAAGAACACCAAAUGUUGAAUUCUCACCAAACCUUGUUGUUGAAGAUCUUAAUUCGUUAUGAUAUCAAUGACAAUGAUUGACUCCCUUUUAAGAAAUCAUAAGCUCAACAUAAAUGGUUAGAGAUCCUCAAUAGAUCAAAUAUUAGGAGAGAAAUCAUGAGCCUAGAAUAAAUGAGCAUUCAUAUGGAUAUUCAAUUUAUUUCCCUAAUACUCAAGUAUUCAUGGAACCAAAAAAGUAUGAGCAUUUGAAUAGAUGUUCAACAUAUGCAUCACAUACUCAUAUUUUCACUAAGUAUUUGCCAAGUAGUUCCUAGGCAUGUCUAAGGCAUCAUUAGUCUUCAAGCACUAUUCUCAAUUAUCAUCAAGUAUUAUCAAUCAUCAUCAAACAUUCAUUAUUUAUUCCCAAUAUCAAUCAGCCAAGAAGUUUCACUCAAUCAUUUCCAGGAAAUUCCCUAAUUCAUAUACAAAAAUAGCAAUUCAAGGAGAAAUUAAAAAAUAUCAUCAUUAAGCAUUUUUAGUGAGUAUUCUUCCCAAUCAAUUCCGAGUGGUCAAUCAUCCAAAUCAUUUUGAAGCAACCAUUGCAAGAUGUAUUCUCCAUAUUAUAUAUGAAAUUGUCAAUUCAAGGAGAACUUUCAAAGCAGGCAUAUCAUUAUUAACAAAGCAAGAAGAAGGCAUUUUGCAUUAUUGCAAUCAUGUAUUAGAGUUAUGAUCAAAUAAGCACAAACAUGGUUACAAGAAAUAACAUGGCUAUCUACCUUAAUCAUGAUUCCAAUUUUGUUCAUCAAAAUGCAAGCAUGAGUUCAAUAUAGACAUAUACCCAUUGAAAAAAUAUGCAACCAUUAAAGUUCAAGGUACAUGCAAUUUCUCAAGAAUUCAUAAUUCAUGAGUGAAAUCAAUUGUUAUAGAAUAUUGAAAGUAAAGCACUCAACUCAUGAAUAUAUUCAAAGUGAACAUUCAAUCAUUAAUGAACACCAAUUAUCAAGAAAAAAAGAUAUAUUUAAUCAAAGCACAUUAGGCAUUCAUUGCUAACUAAAGCUAUAGGCCAUAUUUUAUUUGACAUGUCAUGUUGUUUAUGGUGACCUACAAGCUAAAGUAGUAAAAUGCACACAAAACCUUUAGAUCAUGUAAACGUUAAUGCUCAAUGCAGACAUAGUAACAUUUAAGUGCAUAUUCAAAAUAAAUUUCAACUAUGUCAACUCACAAUAUAUGCCAUGAUCAAACUUCACAAUUAAAUUCAUAUUCAAAUGCAUAGCUGAAUUCAAGUCUUAGACUUCAAACCUUAAGGUUAAGCAUAAAGAAAAAUCAUAUAAGCAUGUGUCACUUGACCAAUAUAGUAGAUGAACCAAGAAUAUUUUCAUUAAGUUCAAUGAGUUCAUCCUAAUCGAAUAAGUAUGCAUAAUCAAGAAAUCAAUUUUGAAAAAAUCAUUUAAGCACAAACGUAAAAUAUAUUUCAAGAACUGUUCCUAGAUUAGCUUUUGAACAUUUCAAUUUUCAUGAGAAGAUAUUUUCUAUAUAUGCACAUGAAAAUCCAAUCGGAUUAACAAAUUCAAGCAUUGAUAAACAAUUUCUCAUAUUUAUAUUUUGUCAUUGUAAAUACAUGAGAAUUAAUGGAAUCAAUAUGAGUGUCAUACUUGGGAAUAGAUAGAUUUAUGUCAACAAAAAAGAUUUCUCAUUUUUCAGAAAGUUUUGCAAUUUCAAGAACAUGUACUUGCACCAAAUGAUCAUGAGAGUAUUCAUAAUGCAUGUUUUUUAGGAGUCAAGAAUCAUCUUUGAAAAAGGAAUUCAGAGAAGAGAAUAUUAUAAUGGACAAGAAGUAAAGUAAAAAGAUAUUUUGGAACACAAAACCUGUCCUUUUUUGGCUUUAAAGCACUCAAGAGUCGACUACUUAUCCCUUGGGUCCACUUUUUAUCAUUCCAGCAGCAUUUGCAUUUUGUUCUUCAAUAGUCAACUAGCUAUGCUAAUAAGUCAAUUAUGCUGGAUUCCUACACAUUGGAAAGCUAGAAAAAGGUGCAAAACAUGCAAUGUUCCAAGGUAUAAUGAUCUCAAAACAUGGAUCUGUGUGAUAACAAUUUAGAAUUUUAUUUCAACCAUGUUUGGAACAUUAUUUUGGACAUGUAUGAUCAAAGAUUCUUCAAGAAAAACAUGUGAACUCAAAUUUUGGCUUUUAUUGCUUAUUGUUCACAAGUACUAAAAAGUUGAAAUGCUUAUUUGAAGAAUAAUGUCUCUAAUAUGCUCAAACAUAUUCAAUUUACAUAAUGAUGCGUGACUAUGACUUAUAACAUGUACAACAAGCAUUUAAAUAAUGUUUAAGCAUAAUAAGCAUCAAAUUUAGCAUUUCCUACAAUUUUCCAGCAUAUGGACAAAAAUGCCCUUGAGGUCUGUCAAGCAUUCAUUUGGAAUAAGACCAAGUUAUAAUAGCAUUUUCAACAUAAGGAACACUUGUUCAAGUUUUGUAUCAUUGAAAUCAUUAUAGCCUCAAGCGUUACAAGAAGAUUUGUUCCUUUUCUUGAAAAAUGCCAUCAAUGCCAAAUUAUCACACUCAAAAUCAUGCUUAAGAAAUCCCUUUCAAUCAAUUUCACCAAUCAUGAGAGAAAUACCAAGCAAAAUAGGAUUUAUGCAAUUCAUGUAUCAAAUCAAUUUUGCUCAACCAUUCUAUAUCAUUAAAAAUAAAGAAUUAAUUCAAUCUAGAAGGAUAAAAAGAUUUCGUAAGAAAAUCAAUUGAUAAAGAUUUAAUCUUUCUUUGCAAACUUUUUAACUUUAAACAUUCAAGAUUAGACUUGCUUUGUGAAAAAUCAUGAGCUCAAUGUCACUCAAUUUUGUUUCAUUAUGCUCUAAAUGAUUUAUGAAAUAUGUAAUGGGCAUAAUGAAUCAUGUAUAUGCAUGUCAAGGGUCAUUUGCAAAUAUCUCACAAUUAUAUUCUAAAAAUGCCCUUGUGACCAUUCAAGCUUACAAGCAAAUAUGCACAUCCAAUAAAAACAAGUCAUAAGUAUUUUUCAUUAUAAAACAAACUUGUUCAAUUCGUAUAUCAUUCUAAACUUAAAGGAUGGCAACAUUUUUCUCAUAUAAACUCAUGUUGCUUUAAAAGUACCAAUUUAAGUAGUCAAAACUUUCAAGCUCAUUAUCAACCAUCUUGAACAAUUCAAACAAGUUCUAGAAUGUAAAUCAAGAUUGUUCAAAUGGUCGACUUAUGUUAGGCACAAGGAAAUCAAGGACAAUUUUUUUUAACUCAAUUUUCCUUGUUUUAGGCUACUUGAAUAAAUGUGAGUGUAAGUCAUCAAGUAUGCUCAUAUUUCUAUCACAUUAUCCAACCUUUUAUGUUCCAAAAUUAUGCGCUAAAAUCAUUUUUUCUCAAAGAAGUAGUAUAGAAACAAUGUCAUAAAUCAUGAGGAAAUUUUAUAGAGACAAUUUUCCAUAAUCAAUCAAUCUUAAUAAAACAAUUUUCUGAAAAUAAGGAUGAUGACAUAUUCAAGAUCAAAUAUAAGUACAUACUCCAUCUUUAGAUUCAUACUUCCUUGCAACUUAAAGCAUGUAUCAUAUCAAAUCAAGUUGCAUAGCCAAGAUUUAUUAAUAAAGCUCAAAGAAUUUGGCACUUAAUAUUCAAGAAAGAAUAGGAAACCAAAAUUUUCAAUUAAGAAGAGCAAACAAUUUUAGAAAUCAAGCUAAAUCAAUGAAACAUUCAAUAAAUAAGCAAUCGAAAAUCUCAUUUAAACAAACAAAAGAGAUUUAGCAUAGAGAUCACCCAUUUUCCUUUAUGUGUGACUCAAGAGCACUCAUUCUUCAAGAAUUUUUUCUCCUUGCUCUAGCAUACCUACAAGAGACAUUUUUUAUUUGAUCUUUGGUAUCCAAAUUACUUUUGAUCCUUGAAAGUUAGUCUCGUUGCAUAAAGCUCCUUUUGAAACCCAAUUUUUUUUUAAUUUUUUACACAUUUCUUUCCUGAAAGCAAUCAUAGGAUAAGUGUCUAGUUCUAUCACAUACAAAGCAUCUAGCGGAGAAAUCAUUAGCAUUUCUUAUGAAAUUUGUGCUCUUUCUUAAUGAUUCUUUUCUUAAAUUCUUAAGAUUAGUAUUUUCAGCAACUGCAGCUUGUAAAGCAUCUAUUCUGUUUUUCAACUCUAAUUAUAGAUUUUCAAAAUUUGUUUUUGAAUGUUCUAAUUCAUUUUCCAAAAAAUUUCUUUGCUAAAAACCAAAGUUGAAAUCAUGUCUUAUCUUUUCCAAAUCAUUUUCAAGAGAUACAACUUUUCUUUUCAAAGUUUCAUAUUUUGAUGCAAGCUUUUCAAACUCAUCAUAGAGACAUUCGUAUUUCUCUUGCAGCUCAUCAAUUGAAAUAUCACAAGAGGUAGAAGACACCUUGGAUUCAUCAUCUCUGGCCAUCAAGCACAAGUUUGAUCUUUCUUCCACUUUCUCAUUUAAUAAAUCUUCAAAUUUUAUUUUCACGUCAAAAUUUCCUUUUCCCAAAAAAUCAAUUUGCUCUUGGUAAGCUUUAAAAUCCUUUUCCAAAUUUUCAUUUUUUUUUCCAAAUCAAUUUUUUUUUUCAUCAAAAAUUCAUUUUCAACAUCGAGUGUGGAAAUGAUUUUCUUGUUCUUUAUAUUCAUUUUCUCAAACUCAAAAGCUAAAUCCUCAAAAGCAUCAUGUAAUUCAUUGAAAGCACAUGAAUUAAGUUCACAUGAUGAAGAAGUUACCUUUAACUCUUCAAGAGCCAUGAAACAUAAUUCAAUUCGAUUUGAGCAUUCAUCUUCACUUGAUUCCUUGUCUCCAUUUGCCAUGUUGCUUGUUGAUAAUUGAUCCUCGUAAGAGUUGUCUUCCAAUUCCUUUUCCAUAUUCGUUUCUCCAUAUAACUCUUCUAAUUUUUACCAAAUUUCCUUCGCACUUUUGCACAUGAACACUUUAUCAUAUUCCCUAUAAUCAAGUGUACAAAUGAGAGUAUGCAUGGCUUUAGAGUUGGUUUGUACUCUCCUUAUUUCAGCUUCUGUUCACUUGGACCUUGGCUUAGGAAUUAGCUUAUUGGUUACAACAUUUAGUGUUGAAGGAAUGAAAGGACCAUCGGUUAUGACAUCCCAAAUCUUAAAAUCUAUAGCUCUAAUGUAAAUUGACAUCCUAGUGCUCCAAUAAGAAUAGUUAGAGCCAUCGAAAAGAGGUGGUCUGUUUGUUGAUUCUCCCCCAGCAAUCAUGGAUUUUUGGAGAGCCAUUUGGAUCCUCCCAAAGGGUGUUAGACCUUAAAAACAGGGAACUAGCUCUGAUACCACUUGUUGGUCCCAAUAAUAUGUGUUAGAGAAUGGGUGAAUAGUAUAAAUCGGCUCUUAACAAGAUGAGGAACUAAUAUCCAGCACAAAGAAAAUAAAAACAGAGUAGAUAAUGCACAAUAAUUUAUAGUGGUUCGGUCCAAGACCUACAUCCACUAUCUUGAUUAGCCAAUCAAGGAUUUUCCCAACAAUUCCACUAAUAACCAGUGAAAUUCACAAGCUUUCACCAAGUUUUACAAUGGCUUUUAUAAGGCUCAACCAAAACCUUUUACACUAGUUUUUCGUGGGCUAAACUAAAACCCAAAGUGGUUUUUCAAAGGCUCAACAACAACCUUUCACAAUGGUUUUUCAUGGGCUCAACCAAAAUCCAAAGUGGUUUUUCAAAAGCUCAACCACAACCUACCACAAUGGUUUUUACCAAGAUCAACCAAAACCCAACAACCAACUUUUCUAGGCCAAGUUUGAACCUUUACACUUAAUCAAACAAUCCAAGCUUGAAUAAAUCCCUUAGAGUGACUCGCUCACUCUAAGUGUACAAGAAGAGAAGAAAUAAAGAAGUGCCUAUGAUCACUUACUUGAUCUAGAUGGUACAAGAUGAAGUGUUGAACACUAUUACAAAGAUUGACGUUUAAGUACAAUAAGGUGCAGAGAAGAUUUUCUGGUUUUUCAGCUUUGUAUCACUUGGAAGCCUUCAAUUCUUUCAAAAACUGAUUUUUAACCAUUGAAAGACCCUUUUAUACUUGGGAAAACAAUUCUGAUGGCAAUUUGAUAGUUUAUGGCCGUUAGAAAUAGUUGAGGAUGAGUUCUAAUCGUUAAUCUAUCUUGUAGUGCUCUGGUUCAAUUUGCAGACAAAGAGCUCUUAGUCGACUAACUUGGUCGACUAAGUUGGUUCUGUUUCAGGUUGCAGAUUCUGGCAGAGAGCAGUUAGUUGACUGACUUGGUCGACUAAGUUGGUUAUGUUUCUCAAACUCUUCAGCCCUCCAUUUCUUUAAUUUGAAACUUAGUCAACCAAUAUUCUUCCUUGUUUCACCAAUAGGCUUUCUCCUCCUUGUUAGACAAUUACAUCUUGUUAUUUUUUCCUUCUUUUUCUUUUGAUAUACUCUUUGAAAGAUUGAUUUAUUAAUUUCAUACAUUAAUUUUCAUGUACCCUCAAGUAAAGGCAUUAGACACAAAUGAAUGGGAAUAUUUUGCUAUCAUAAAAAACAUAUAGAGUCAACAUUCUCUUUCUCCUAUUUUUGAUGAUGACAAAAUGCUCUUAGAUUAAAAGUGUAAUGUCUAUGUUCAAUAUGAAUGCUUCAAAUCUUUAUGCAUAAUGAGUUGCUCCCCCUUAGCCAAUGCGCCUAGCUUUCUUUAAAGAUUUGCAAUAAACAAUGCCCAUAGUAGCUAAGUAAGAUAUAUUAAAUAUCCAUAAUAACUAGCACAUAAUAUUCAAUAAAAUCCUAGCUAAGCAUCACACACAUAAAUUAAAUGUUAAGACCUAUUUAACUCUACUUGAUUUAGUCUUUCUUCUCUCCUUUUUCUUUUUCAUCAUUAAACAAGAUAUUCAAAACUCCCCUUUAAUGAGUGCAUCAAGAUUUUUCUUUCAUCUUUAAAUCAAACUUUAAUGAAUGAGAAUCAUAAGCACUCAUACGCCUAAGUCAUACAAGCUUAUAGAUAUAGUUCAAUAACUUCAAGAGUCAAGCUUGUGUCUAUGUAAGAACGAAUGUAUGGGAGUUAAAUCAUUUCAAGAAAUUGUCAAGGAUUACUUAAAUAAUGUUCAAGCAAAUUUGAUCAUUUUGUCAUAAUCAAAACUAUAAUAAUUUUAAAGCUAACAACACUUGGGUGGUUGAAGAUUUGACAAAUCCUAAAGGUGAAGAAGCAAUGAUUUUGAUUUAAUUGGCUCUUGAUUACGAUAUCUAAAGUAAAGUAUGUAACUCUUAAACUUAUGAGUGCUCAUAAUUAAUUUGAAAGUUACAUGAUAAACACAAACAUUAAUCUUGUAGGAUUCUACUAUUUCUCUAAUUAAAUACUAGUUUAUUUUUUUGUUACGUUAUAUUUUUUAAUUUCUUGAUUAUUUUCAUGUUUGAGCAUGAGGUCGAAUCUCAACACCAUAAAAGAAAAGUGCAAAUGCUACAGUUUGUUGGAUACAUGAUGAGGUGCACAAGAAAUAACUCGCCAUUAAAUGGAUGCUAUUAUUGUGCUAACAUGUUUAGUUACUGUUGUAAACUGCUUAGGCCCAAUCUUGAAGCAAUAUUUAGCUGGAUGGCUUAUUUAAUUUUCACAAUAAUUGACAGACACUCUUGGUAGUUGGAUAAGCAAGGUUCUCAAUAAAAUCAGUGGUUGAGGAAAUAAACCUAUUAUAUUGACUAGGUCAACAUUGCUUUGAUUUGACAAGGGAAACGGAUGUUAUCUUACCAACAAAAUUUACAAUGGGAAUAAUCAUAUAUAUUAACCAAGGAAUCUUGCUUCUUGAGAACAACUUCAUAAUCUAUAAACUUAUCUAAUAGUUCUUCAAAGAAAUAAUAAGAUUCUAGGGUCCUUAUCUCUGUUGCAUGAAUGAUAAGUUCUUCUUUUAUGAAACCUUGACCUAUAUAGACCCGUAACUAGAAGUAGACGCGAUAACACGGACCAAAGGUAAUUUCAUCAUUUCUCAUUGUGAGCUCCUAGAAGUAGCUUUCUAAUGUUAUUAAGGUCUAAGUAGGCUUAAGGAAUAGAUGAAUGAUGGUAAAAUGAAUGAAGAAGAUAGAAAUACUAAUAAUUUCCAUAGUAGAGGUAAAAUGAUCAUUUUUCAUCUCGAGUUUAAAUUUUUACGUUUUCAUGAACCUGAGUAUUUCUAGACUAUUAUGGACUUUGCAUUUCUAGACUAUUAUGAACUCGAGUAUUUCUAGACUAUUAUGGACUUUGUCUUAGUGUCAAAGAAGUAUAAAGAUUGUAUAAAGGUAAGGGGAAGACAAAGUGACCUCGUUAAGGGCAUUUUGAUAAUUUAUGUGAGAAAUUGGAUAAACUUUAGGCAUAAAUAUCUAACUCUCCAAUAGCUUUCUUCUUAUUUUUCUAGCAGCUCUUCUUCUUCCUUCCAUCCUUCUCUCCAUUUCAUGUUUCUUUGCAGCUUCCAUGGAAACCUCCCUUGAAACCUUUAUAACUUUCCCAAAUUUGCUCCAUUUCUCAUGUUUUUCUACACCUUUUCAUAGGGUUUCCAUGCUCUUCCACUUCUACACCUUAAAAACCCUCAAAAGCCUUUCCUUAAUACUUUUUCUCACUAGUUGGACGUUAUAGAGAGAGAAAGAGAGAUUUUUCACAGUAGUUUGAAAGCUUUUAAAAAGAAAUUCAACUACAAAGAAACCCUAAGGUGAGUAAUUAGCUAGGUUUUAUUUCUAAUUUGUUGAUGAAGGUCAAUAAUUUGAUUUGUGGGCUAUUUUAUUGCAGAAAGUUGUUUAUUUAUUCCUAGUGUGACUAAAGUAAUACAAAUAAAUAGCUAGUCAAAUAGCAAUUGGAAACUAGUUAGGAAAAACUAGUAAACUUUGAAUUAGAAAAUAGCUUUUGGGGUAACAUUUAUGUAAAUUGAGUUGGUUGUUUUAUUAUUGUGUAUGAUAGGUUCCAACGAGGCCCCACACCUUUAUUCGGAGCAUUAGUCAAAGUUAGAGUCGAUCCAAAAGCAUUAAGGAAAACAAGUGAGUGAAUUUGCAUUAAAAUGUUUUGGGUAAAUGUAUAUAUGUUUCAAUGAAUCACUUGAAAUAUUUUAAUUCAUUUUUCUUCGAAAUGCACACGAAAACAAGCCCUUGACGAAUUUUUUUUUUUUGUGUUGCGUUGUGAAAUGUGACUAUGAUAAAUCCAUGUACUCCUUUAUUGUGUUGAUAUAAACAUAUAUGUGUUGUGCAUUGAGAGGUGAUAUUGUGUAAUAAAUAUAGCCGUGCAUAUGUGCGAUGUGGGGGAGCACAUGUCGAUGAUGACGGGUGCUGGAGUGUGAAUAAUGAUAUUGCCUAUGCGCGAUGUGAGGGAUGCACAUGAUGGAAUUAGCUAUGCACGAUGUGGGGGAUGCACACGAUGACUCUGGCUAUGUGCGAUGUGGGAGUGCACAUGAGCUGGGUAAGGCAAUGGUGGUGCAUAUGCUUAUAUAUAUAUAUUUACUGUAUAGAAAGGUUUGGAAUUAAUAUGUGAUUGCAUUGACUGUUGAAACUUGAUUAUUGUCAAAUGUGUUUAAGCUGAUUUACGUUGCACUAAGAUUGGACUUCUAUAGCAGUGAAAAUUUCCCCUAACUUCAUCUUGCCAGAUUCUCGCUGCAGCGAAAAUGAAUCUCACUGCAGUGAGAAAGUCUCAGGUUGGAGGAGGGUGUACACUAGCUCUAUUUUCGCUACAACAAGAAACUCUCAAGUGGUUCAAAAUUUUGGUCCGAAUUUCACUGUAACGAGAAUGCCUUUUCGCUACAACGAAAAACCCUAUAUUUUACUUGUCUUGCGUGGACAUUUGUUGAAAUUUUCAUUCUUUUCAACUUCAUGGUUUAUCAUGGAUUUUAAAUGCUACAGAAUUAAAUAAUCAAGGGAUGAAUUAAGAGGCUUUACCAGAAAGUAAACUAAAUUGCAUUGUUUGUAACUAAAGUUCAUCAUGUUUUCAAAAUCUCUUCAUAUCGUUGCUUAUUCCCUUCUUAUGUUCACUCACUGAGUUUAUACUCACUAUUUUCAACUUCAUGUUUUCAGAUCAGAAGGUAGUUUGAACCUAGGUCGAGGUGUUCACCAAGAUUUGUCUCCUUGGUAGGUAUCGCGACAUUCAAUAGCUGUACCUUCACCAAGGUCACUCCGCUGGAAGUCGAGUGUCUUUUUGCUGUGUAUAGAUAAACGCGAUGUAAAUUACUAAGUUAUAUGUCUUAGACAAUAUAUGUAUAUUUUGAUUGGUAAUGCCACUAUGAGUUGGCAAUGGAUAACAUUAUUUUGGGUUAAUAUAAAUGCAAGUAUUUGAUUACUGUAGCACAUUAUUAAAGUACUUGUAGUUUGGAAUUAUGAAAUGUGACUUUGGGAACAUUUGAUAGAAUGAUGAAUAGGUUAUAUAAAUAGGAUUACUUGGGCUUAGUGGGCUAUACCCAUUGGGUCGAUGCGUCGGUCAUGGCCUAAAAAUUGGGCUAUGACAGACUUGGUAUCAAAGCCCAAAGUUAUCUAGGUCCUAGGAUUUUCAUUAGUGAUCUAGCAGAGUAUCGGGUUUUUAUGUGGAAACUUUGGUUAUGAAUUAUGAACCGUGACACAUUUUACAACUAAGAGACCACAUAGAUUCCCUAUUCUAGAAACCACCUUUUCUCUUAAGUUAUAAUUGUAAAACAUGUUUAAUAACAGGUGUUUUCUCUUGUCUAGGUAAGAAUGCUGCCUAAAACACGAGCCACCUCGAGACAGAUAGGGAAGCAAGAUGCUCUUAAUGAGAUGACGGGUAGGCCACGGACAUCCACCCUUAGAGGGUGUGGCAAAUGUGGCGGGGCCACUAGGUCGGUGAGGGCGAAUACACCUAUGAGUAGACAGGAGGAGGAACAGUCCUUAGGCGAUCCGGAUAGACAACCGACUGGAGGCUUCACCAUAGAUGAACUGGUUGCAGGUCUACAGUGUUGGUCCCAAUUAUAUGUGCUAGAAGGGGGGUGAAUAGCACAAAUUGGCUCUUGACAAGAUGAGGAACUAAUUUUCAGAACAAAGAAAAUUAAAACAAAGUAGACAAUGCACAGGAAUUUAGAGUGGUUCGGUCCAAGACCUACAUCCACUACCUUUAUUAUCCAACCAAGGAUUUUUCAAACAAUUCCACUAAGAACCGGUGAAAUUCACAAGCUUUCACCAAGCUUUACAAUGGCUUUUACCAAGCUCAGCCAAAACCUUUCACAAUAGUUUUUCAUCGGCUAAACUAAUACCCAAUACCUAAUUUUUUGAGGCUAAGUUAGAACCUUAACACAUUCAAGCAAACCUAGCUUGAAACAACCACUUAGAGUGACUCCCUCACUCUAAAAAUACAAGAAAAGAAGUAAAAGAAAGUGCCUAUGAUCACAAGGUUGAUCUCAAUGUUACAAGGUUGAGUGCAGAAUACAAAUAAAAAAGAUUGACGUUUAAGUGUAAAAAGGUGCAGAGGAGAUUUUCUAGUUUUUCAACUCUUCUAAAACUUCCAAAGAACUGAUUUCUAACAGUUGGAAGACCCUUUUAUGCUUAGACAAACAGCUCUGAUGGCAGUUUAUGACCGUUGGAAACAGUUGAGAGUUGGUUCUAGCAGUUAAUCUGUCUUUUAGUGCUCUAGUUCAAAUUACAGACAGAGAGCUCUUAGUUGACUAACUUUCUUCUUGGUCGACUAAGUUGGCUCUGUCUUCUGGUCGCAGAUUCUGGCAAAGAGCAUUCAGUAAACUAACUCAUUUCUUGGUGGACUAAGUUGGUUCUGUUUCUCAAUAUUCCUCAACCUGCCACCCUUGAUUUAAAUCUUAGCUGACUAACUCUCAAUUGAUGAACUAAGGGACUUUUGCCUUGUUGUUCAAUUGUGACUUCCUUAGCCUUAUACUCUUUGAUAUGUGCAUUUUAAUGAUAGAUUAUUUGUUUGCAUAUAAUUUUGUCCUACACACUCAAGUAAAAAUAUUAGACACAAAUGAAAUGGAAAUGUUUUAUUAUCAUCAAAAACUAAUGGAGCCAACAAUCUCCCUUUUUUUUAUGAUGACAAAACAUUCCUUGAUUAAUAGCACAGUGUCCUUUUAUUCUUUUUAAUUUUGCAGAAAAUAAGAAUUGCUCCCCCUAAAUAUAUGCUCCCCCUUAGUGUGUGCAUAUUUUGCUUAUUUAUUCAAACAUCAAUAUGUCAAUAUCCAGAAUAUAAACAUAUCAGCAUCCCAUUUUUCACACAAAACAUAAACACAAGAUUAAACUAAACUGUUUAAUUGUCAGCACGACAAACAUAGCAGGAAAAUAAAAGUAACAACUGAUAUUCUUAAAUUGCCUCUAGUUUAUUUCUGCUUCCUUUCUUUCCUAAAUUCCUGGUACCUCCAUCCUAACAUUUUUUUUAAUUAAUUUUCUAGUUCCUUCUCCUUUCUUCUCCUCCUAAGGUUCGGCCAUACUUCUCCUCCUUUUUGUCAUCAUCAAUUCCUAAUCAGCUUUUGAGGAGGAUAAGGGAGAGUACUCAUCAUCAGUGUAGUACUUGACGUUGAAAGGUUGAAGAGAGGAUUCUGGAGGUAAUUCUUGGGUAAAAGGAUCAGGCAAGGGUGUGUUAGACACUUCAAGUGGUUCUUGUGGAGAAGAAGCUGUUGCUAGCUUGGACUUUUCUGCCAAUCUGGAGGACUUUCUUCUUUUGAGGAAUACUGUUUUUAUUACCAUUGUUUUCUUCCCUUUGGCAGGUGGUUUUGUCUUUGUUUAUGGUGCUGCAGUGACUUUUUCUUUCCCUUUUCCAAAUUUUGCUUUCACUCUAGGGGUUGGUGUAGAUGUAUCUUGUUGAGCUUUUACCUUGGUAGCUUCCUUUUUAGCCUGUUCUUCCCUAACCAUUUUGUGGAAGACAUCCAUAAUGGAUACCUAUUCUGAAUUUGAAGGGGAGGGCUGCUGUUUCUCAAGUUCUGAAGGAGCAUUUUCAUCCGGUGAGCCUAGCACUUCUAUUCCUUGUUUUGAUUUAUCUUUGCUUUGGUGUUUAGGUGAGGGGGCUUUAACUGGUUGAUAAACACCAAGGUGAGAGUCCUCUGUCUGAAGGACAGGGCUGGUAGUUUUGUAAGUGGAGCCUUCAGCUUGAACACCAUAACUUGCUCCAUGAGGAGCAGACCCUUCUGCUUGUAAAGCUGAACCCUCAGCACCUUGCUAUGCUGGUGCAAUACUUAGUGUUACAAAGGUAUCUACAACAGUAGGUUUUGAUGACAUUUUUCUUUUUCCCUUUAGUUCAUUUUCCAGUUCAGCAAUUUUCUCUUCAAUUUUCUGCAUUCUAGCUCCUUGGUCUAUGAGCUUUCCAUCAAUUCUGGUUAGGAGAUUGAAGAUUACCGCAUUCGAGAAUUGGGAUGGUACACCCUCUGGUUGAGCAGGUAGGGUGGAUUCUUUUCUUGGGCCAACCUUGAGGGUUUUAAUGAAUCUUUCUCCAUUAAGUUUAUACCCCAUUUAGGACAAACUACCAAAGUAAAUGGCUUGUCCAGUUCAUAUCUUUUGGCCUAGACAACUUUUUUCUGCACUAAAGAUGUGAUAACAUUUCCAUCAGGCAGAUUAAUUUUCUCAAGCUUGCAUGUUCUUCUUAUCUUUUCAAUCACGAAUUUGCCUAGGUUCAGAGCAACCCCAUUAAAAGCAUGUUCGAUCAACCAAAGAUCCUGCAGGUUGAUGUAGCUUAAACUCCCCCUUCUGCCAUAGAUAUUUGCUGUAACAAAGUAAUGCAUAAUUCUUAUCUGGGGACUGGUUAUCAAACCAGCAUUGCUCUUUGAUGAGUACUUUUCCUUUCUCCCAGUAAUGAUUUCCCACAAAGAGGAUGGGUCGUAUUUCUCUGAGAAUUUGAACUCUCCCUCCUCACAUUCAACUUUCAGCAAAUUACCAAUAUUAUUAGCAAUAACCACAAAUUCUUUACCAUUCGAAAAUACAUUUAGUCCAUUUUCAAUGUAGUCAUCAGAAUCAUCUAGCAUACAAUUCUUUCAUCAAGUUGGCACUAUAGGAUCUAUUCUUAAAUGUGCUAUACCUUCUCAGUUUCAAUUCAUCAAAAUAAUUUGAUAGACUAGCUUGAAUUUCUGGAUUUUCACUAACCCUUUCCCAGUCAAUGUAUUUCCCGUAAGUGAUAAGAGCAUUCUUUAUUUUUCUAAACCUCUCUUCAUGUAUUUUAUUUUUAAAUUUAGAAAAAGAGGUAGUACCUUUCUUGGGCAUUGUAUCCUUGUCUUUCUUUUUCUCUGAUUUCUGCUUCUUCUUUUUCUAUGAUUUCCUAGAUUUCUCAGUCAUUCAAGUAAACCCAAUUUUCUGUUUCUUUUUCUGCAUUUCUGCUUCUAACCCUUCUUCCAGUGGCCUUUUUCCUUUCUUCUUUCCAAUAAUUUCUUUACUCUAAGAGGUUUUUGCCAUUUCGAUUUGAGAGAUUUCUGAUAAGGGUUUUAAGGUUCUAAGUGGCAAGGGUUUCAGUUAUAUGAGAGUCUAUUUCAGAGGAGAAAAUGUAGAGGAAAUGGGUUUCAAUUUUCAGAUGAUCAAUUUUCAGGGGAGAGAGAAAUUGUCAGCAGUUUUAUUUGCUCUUAGAAAACUAUCUGCCUCCCCCUUAAAUAUUGCCUCAUAUCAUUCGCUUAAAAUUUCAAAAAUUCCCUCUAAAUUUUAGUUAUUUACUUAGGCAGUUUUUCUCUUUUUUUUAUUACUCGGUAAACACAUUCUUUUCAUUAUUUUAUUCCUUCUUCAUUUUAUUGACUGAGUUUUACUAUUUAAUGCUAACAGAACACUCUUAGUUGACUAAGAUUUACCUUAGUCGACUAAAUGCAUUCUGUUUUAUGUACAUGAGCUAAAAAUUUUCUCACAACUCCUGAAGACUAAUCAUUCCUAAAUUCCUUCUAAUUUCAUAGAAUCUAUCUUGAUUUAGAGGUUUGGUAAAAAUAUCUACAAAUUGAUGCAAAGUAUUCACAAACUCAAUCUUAAUAUCACUUUUCACUACAUGGUCUCUAACAAAAUGGUGCCUAAUCUCAAUGUGCUUAGUCCUAGAAUGCUGCAUAGGAUUUUUUGAAAUAUGAAUUGCACAUGUAUUAUCGCAGUAUAUUGGUAUGUUAUGCAUUGAUAACCCAUAGUCCUUUAGUUGUUGUUUAAUCCAUAAUAUUUGGGCACAACAGCUUACUAGUGAUACAUACUCUGCCUCUGCUAUAGAUAAAUCCAGUGAAUUUUGCUUUUUGUUGGACCAUGACACAAGCAUACUACCUAGAAAUUGGUAGGUUCCACUAGUGCUUUUCCUAUCGGUUUUGCUGCCAACAAAAUCAGCAUCCGAAUAUCGAACUAAGCUAAGGAUUGAUUCUCUAGAAUACCAUAUGCCUAAAGUUUGAGUUUCUAAGAGGUAUCUAAAAAUUCUUUUAAUAGUUGUUAAGUGUUAUUCUUUAGGCUGUAACUAAAAUCUAGCACACAAACACACACUAAACUGAAUAUCUAGUUUGCUUGCUGUUAAGUAGAGUAGUGAACCGAUCAUACCUCUAUAGAGCUUUUGAUCUACAUUAUUUCCUUUUUCAUCUAGAUCAAGUCUAGUGGAUGGACUCAUUGGUGUGGAGAUUAGUUUCAGCUUCAACAUAUCGAACUUUUUAAACAUAUCUUGAGUGUAUCUUUCUUGGUUAAUGAAGAUUCCUUUCUCACUUUGCUCAAUUUGAAGACCAAGAAAGUACUUUAACUUUCUCAUCAUGCUAAUCUCAAAUUCACCUUGCAUUUCUUUAGUAAAGUUCUUGCAUGAAGCCUCAUUAGUUGCACCAAAUACAAUGUCAUCCACAUAUAUUUGUACAACAAUUAAAUCAUUUAAGUAUCUUUUAAUGAACAAUAUAGUAUCAAUGCUGCCUUUAACAUAACCCUUUUCAACUAGAAAUUUUGAAAGCCUCUUAUACCAAGCUCUAGGAGCUUGUUUUAAUCCAUACAAGGCUUUAAGAAGUUUGAAAACAUGAUCAGGUUUUUCAAAAUCUUCAAAACCUAGUGGUUGUUCAACAUACACUUCCUCUUGAAUGAAUCCAUUUAAAAAUGCACUUUUUACAUCCAUUUGGUACAAUUUGAAAUUCAUGAAACAUGCAAAAGCUAGCAACAACCUUAUGGCUUCAAUUCUAGCAACCAAUGCAAAGGUUUCAUCAUAGUCUAUUCUUUCCUCUUGAUUGUAUCCUUGAGCUACUAACCUAGCUUUAUUUCUAACUACAUUUCCUUGCUCAUCUACCUUAUUUCUAAACAUCCAUUUUGUACCAACAAUAGGGUGAUUUGAAGGUCUAAGUACUAGUGACCAUACACAAUUUCUUUUGAAUUGGUCAAGUUCCUCUUGCAUGGCCAUUAUCCAACUUUCCUCUUUUUCAGCUUCUUCAAAGUUUUUAGGCUCAAUUUGAGAUAUGAAAGCUGAAAACUCACAAGUCUCUCUUGUUGCUCUCCUAGUUCUAACUCCUUCAAAAAUGUCACCUACGAUUUGAUCUUGUGGAUGGUCACUUACAAAUCUCCAACUCAUUGGAAGGUCAUUAUGCUAAUUUUCUGUUAUUUGCAAAUUUUCUAGAGGUGGAGUUUCAUUUUCUCUUCUAGGUGAGCUUUCUUCAUUAUUCUUAUUGUUCUCUAAGCACAUUUCUUCCAUUUGUUUUUCUAAGAUUUCUACAUCAUCAUCAUCAACAUGAAUUUCCUUUUGUAAAGCAUUUGACUCAUCAAAAACUACAUGGAUUGAUUCUUCAACGGUUAAAGUCCUUUUGUUAAAAAUCCUAUAAGCCUUUGAGUUUAAUGCAUAUCCUAAAAAUAUUGCCUCAUCACUUUUUGCAUCAAACUUUCCUAAGGGUUGUUUUCCAUUGUUCAAUACAAAACAUUUACAACCAAAACUCCUAAGGUGAGAAAUAUUUGGUUUCCUACCCUUGAAAAGUUCAUAUGGUGUCUUAGAUAUCAUGGGUCUUAUUGAGACUUUAUUAAGUAUAUAAGCUGCUGUGUUCACUGCCUCAGCCCAAAAAUAUUUUCGUAGGUUAUUCUCACAUAGCAUAGUCCUAGCCAUUUCUUUUAAGGUUUGGUUUUUCCUCUCUACCGCUCCAUUUUGCUAGGGUGUUUUAGGUGCAGAGAAAUUGUGAUCCAACCCCUUUUCAUUGCAAAAUUUCUCAAAUUCAUCACUUUCAAAUUCUCCUCCAUGAUCACUCCUUAUGCUAACUAUGGCUAGUCCUUUUUCAUUCUCUACUUUCCUACAAUGACUUAUAAAAACUGAUAGAGCAUCAUUCUUAUGAGCAAGAAAAUAAACCCAAGUAUAUCUAAAGUAGUCAUAAACUAUUAAAAAGCCAUAAGAUUUUCCUUCUAAGCUAGUUAUGCUUAUUAGAACAAAUAGAUCAAUAUGUAACAAUUCAAGAGGUCUAGAUGUUGACACAAUCUUCUUAGUCUUGAAGGAUGUUCUAACUUGUUUUCCUAGUUGACAAGCAUCACAUAUUUUGUCACUUUCAAAUUUUAUGUCCGACAGUCGAACAACUAGAUUUUUUUUGAUUAGUUUUGACAUAGUAUGCAUGCUUACAUGUCCUAAUCUCCUAUGCCAUAACCAGCUAUCAUUUUCAGCAUUUGCAACAAGACAUAUUUCACUAUUUAUUUCAAGAUCCUCAAGAAAAACAACAUACAUAGUCUUCAAUCUCUUUCCUAUAAAUGAGACUUUGUUUAUACCUAUUGUUGGCUCUAUUAGUUUUUGAUGACAAUAAAACAUUCCCAUGUAUGUGUGUCUAAUACCUUUACUUGAGUGUGCAGGAAAUUAAUAUAUAAAAUUAAUUUAAUAACUCUCCAAAGAGUAUUUUUGAUAGAAAAAGAGGGAUAAAAUCAACAAGAUGUAACUGUCUAACAAAGAGGAAGCUUAUUGGUGAAACAAGGAAGAAUGUUGGUUGAUCAAAGUUUCAAAUUGAAGAAAUGGCGGGCUGAAGAGUUUGAGAAACAAAAUCAACUUAGUUGACCAAGACAGUCGACUAACUGCUCUCUGCCAAGAUCUGCAAACCAGAAACAAAAUCAACUUAGUCGACCAAGUUAGUUAACUAAGAGCUCUUUAUCUGCAAUUUGAACUAGAGUACUACAAGACAGAUUAACGGCUAAAACUCAUCCUCAACUGUUUCCAACAGCCAUAAACUAUCAAACUGCCAUCAUUGCAUCUCCAAGUAUAAAAGGGUCUUCCAACAAUUAGAAACAAGUUUUUUUGAAACCUUGAAUGAGAUUUGAGCUAUAGAAAGUAGAAAAAACAGAAAAGCUUCACUGCACUUGUCUGCACUUAAACGCCUACUCUUUGCAUUUGUAUUUAGCACUAAAUCUUGUACCACUCAGAUCAACUAGUGAUCAUAGGUACUUUCUUUUACUAUCUUUCUUGUAUUCUUUGAGUGAGGAAGUCACUCUAAGGGGUUAUUCAAGCUUGGGAUAGCUUGAUUGUUGUAGGUUGUGGUUGAGCCUUGAAAAACCACUUUGGGUUUUAGUUGAGCCUGUGAAAAACUAGUGUAAAAGGUUGUGGCUGAGCCUGGUAAAAGCCAUUGUAAAGCUUGGUGAAAGCUUGUGAAUUCACCGGUGUUUAGUGAAUUUGUGGGAAAAUCCUUGGUUGGAUAAUCAAGGUAGUGGAUGUAGAUCUUGGACCAAACCACUCUAAAUUGCUGUGUAUCUUAUACUCUGUUUUUAUUUUCUUUAGUUCUGAAAAUUAGUUUCCAAUAUUGUUAAGAGCCAAAUUGUGUUAUUCACCCCCCUCUAGCACAUAUUAUAGGGACCAACAAUUGGUAUCAGAGCCUAUUCCUUGUUAUUAAGGCUUAACAUCCUUAGGGAAGAUUCAUAUGGCUCUUUAAAAAUCAGUAGUGGCUGAGGGACAAUCAACAAACAUACCACCUCUAUUUGAUGGCUCUAAUUACCCUUAUUGGAGCAUUAGAAUGUCAAUUUACAUUAGAGCUAUAGACUAUGAAAUGUGGGACGUCAUAACUGAUGGAUCCUUUAUGCCCUCAACGGUGAAUGUAGUGACAAAUAAAUUGAUGCCCAAGUCAAGGUCUGAAUGUACUAAGACUGAAACUAAGAAAGUUCAAAUAAAUUUUAAGGCCAUAAACACAUUGCAUUGUGCAUUAACUCCCACUGAAUUUAACAAAGUCUCAAGCUGUACAACAGCUAAGCAAGUGUGAGAAAAACUUAGAAUAAUUCAUGAAGGGACUUCUCAGGUAAAAGAGUCCAAAAUUGCUGUGUUAACACAUAAUUAUGAAAUGUUCAAAAUAGAGCCUGGUGAAAACAUCACCAACAUGUUUGAUAGGUUUACAAACAUCACAAAUAAAUUGAGUCAGCUAGGCAAGCCUGUUCCUAAACAUGAAUUAGUAAAAAGACUGUUUAGGAGUCUACUAAAAAACUGAAAGCCUAAAGUGACUGCCAUUACAGAGGCUAAAGAUCAAAACAUCAUCACACUUGAUGAGAUUUGUGGUUCUCUUCUCACUCAUGAGCUGGAGCUUAAGGAAUAAGAAGAAGAAGACCAAAAAGAAGCAAAGGAAAAGAAAAAGAGUAUUGCACUUAAAGCCAAUAUCUUUCAAGAAGAGUUGGAAAAACUUUCCUGUGAUGAUGAUGAAGAAUUAGCUCUGGUUGCAAGAAAAUUCAGAAAGCUAAUGAGCAGAAGAAACCGAAGGCUAGCUAGAAAAGGUUUCAAGAAAGACCAAAGUGAGCAAAAAGAAUGAAGAAAUACUGCCAAAGGUAAAUAACCAAACUUUUAGAGGGAAAUUUAAAAUUAUGAAGAAAUAAAAGUAGGGCAAUACUUAAGGGAAGGUGAGCAAUUUUUCUAAGUAAUAACUGCUGACUACCUUUUCUUUCCUCUCCCCUGAAACUCAUUGCUCUAAAAACAAAAACCUAAAUCUUCUUGAUUACCUCUAAAACCGAUUCAAACCCUUAGAAAUUUUUGGAACCAGUAUGGCUAAAACAUCUCAAGGUAAAAAGAUAUCAGAGAAGAAGAAAGGGAAAAGGCUAAUGGAGGAAGGGACAGGAACGAAAAGUCUAAAGAAGAAACUGAAAAUCAUGCCUGGUUCAGUGAAAGAAAUAUCCGAGAAACUAAGAGAAAAGAAGCAAAAAUUGAGAAGAAGAAAUAUACAGAACCUUCACUCCACAAAGGUACUAGUUCUUCUUCUUCAAAGUUUAGGAAUAAGUUGCAUGAAUAUAGGUUCAAGAAUAUCGAGAAUGCACCAAUCUCCUAUGGAAAAUUUAUUGAUUGGAAGAGUUUUGAGGAAAAUGUUGAAAUCCAAAGUAGUUUAUCUGAGUACUUUAAUGAACUGAAACUAAAAGGUUACAACACAUUUAAGAAUAGGUCUUAUAGUCCAAGUCUAGUUAAAGAAUUCUAUUCUGAUAUUGCUUUGAAAGAAAAGGAAUUAACAGAUUCUGAUGACUAUGUGGAAGAUGGAUUUAAUGUAUAUUUGAAUGGAAAAAAGUUUGUUAUGAUUGUUAAAGAUUUAGGGAACCAGUUGAAAAUAUAAUGUAAAGAAGGAGAAUUUGAGCUUCUUGAAAAAUAUGAUCCGUCCUCAGUAUGGGAGAUCAUCACUAGAAGGAAAGACAAAUAUUCCUCAAAGAGUAAUUCUGGUUCGAUAACCAGCCCUCAGAUUAGAAUUCUACAGUAUUUCAUAGUAGCAAAUAUACAGGGUAGAAGUGGAAGCCUUAGCUAUAUCAGCCUCCAGGACCUUUGGUUAAUGGAGCAUGCCUUUAAUGAGGUAUCUCUAAAUCUGGAAAGAUAUAUGAUUGAAAAAUGAGGAGUGCCUGUAGACUUGAUAAGGUAAAUCUACCGUAUGGGAAUGUGAUUACAUCCCUUAUACAAAAGAAAGGAAUAUGGGCAAAGUGGUAUGAUAUGGACUUGGUAAAAACCAGAGAUCAAGCUAUUCAUUAUGGCAGCUUGGUUAAAAUGGGGUAUGUACUUUAUGGAGAAAGGUUCAUUAAAACCUCCAAGACUAGUCCAAGAAAAGAACACAGCCUACCUGCUCAAUCUGAAGGAGCCUAUUCCAGAUUCUUAAAUGAAGUAAUUUUUAAUUUGCUCAUGAAGAUUGAUGGUAAGUUGACUGACCAAGGAGAAAAGCUACAGAAAGUUGAAGAAAAAAUCACUAAGUUGGACAACAAGCUGAAGAAGAAGGAAAGCAUGCCAUUUGAACCUGUGGCUACAGACAACUCUACAACAUCAAGCACUACACCAGCAUAGGAAGGUGCUAAAGGUUCAGCCAAGUUAGCAAAAAAAUCUACUCCUCAUUUUGGAAGUUCUGGCAUUCAAGUUGAAGGUUCCACCUACAAAUCUACCAGCCCUGUUCUGCAGUCUGAAGACUCUCACCAAGGAGAUGAUCAGCCAGCCAAGACACCCUUUCUUGAACCUUAAAGCAAAAAUGAUUUAGAAUAAGGGACAGAAGUGGUUGGUUCAGGGAAAGAGAAACAACAAGCCUUUCCUCAAAAUUCAUAGGAAGUUUCCAUUAUGGAUGUCUUCCAUCAAAUGAUUAAGGAGGGACAAGUUGAAAAAGACAUUGCUAGGACAGAAACUCAAAAAGAUGGUGGAGAUGUAAGGAAAGGGAAGAAGCCUACAUCAGCUACUAAAGUAAAGGCAAAAGCAGAAAAAGCCAAAGCCAUUGCAGCACCACCAACUGAGGCAAAACUACCAACCAAAGGCAGAAAGACUAUGGCCACCAAGAUAGCUUUUCUCAAAAGAAGAAAGUCUUCUAGGUUGGUAGAGAAAUCCAGACCAGUUUCAGCCUCUUCUCCUCAGAAUCCAAUCCCUAUCUCAAACAAGUCCUCACCAGAUCAUUCACCUCUCCGAGCACCCUCUCCUUUUCCCCUAAACCCUUUCUAUGACACUGAAUCCUCACCCUCUAACACAUCAGAUGAAUAGAAGCCCCUUCCUUUGAUGCUGAUAAAAAAGAGGAGUAGAAUGAGUGUAGGAACCAAAAAUUGGGUGCAAGAAUUUUCUUAAAAAAAAUGUUGGGGUGGAGGAACCAAGAACCUAGGAAAGAAAAGAAAGCAAAAUUAGGAGCAUGAACUUAGAAAAAUAGGAGAUAAGAAGCAAAACUGUCCAAAGGCAAUUUCAAAAUACUUUUUAUUAACUGCUAUUUGUACCAGGGUGGCACUUAAACACUUAGUUUUAAUUUUGUUGUUUAUGUGACUGUAUGUGAAAUAUGAAUGCUUAUAUGACUAUGAUGCUUAAUUGCUACAAAUUGAAGUCUACUGAUAUUUUGGUAUUUUUACUGUCAUGAACAAAAUCUGCUGAUGCUAUGCUGAUAAAUGAUUUUUGUUAUGGCAUUGUGGAUAGCUUCUGUUUCUAAAUAGAUAUAGAUGGUGUGUAUAGUAUGUCAAUUGAAACAUGAAUGAUAUGGACAAAAUCUGAAGUCAAUAAACUGUUGACAACUGCUAGAACAUUGAUGAAAAUCUGUCAACACUUAAAGCUGAAAGUUUAAUGAUGAUCUGCUAAUACUUAUUUGCUGCAAAUCACUCUAUAUUGCUACACAUAUGUAUACUCUAAAUGUACAAUAUCAUUUUCUAUAUGACGAGAAUAAAAUUAGCUGAAACAAAAUAAGUAAAAUAUGCACACACUAAGGGGGAGCUUAUACUUAAGGGGAGCAAUCCUCAUUUUCUGCAGAAAACUAAAAAGAAUUAAAAAGACACUAUAUUGUUAAUCAAGGAAUGUUUUGUCAUCAUCGAAAAAGGGAAGAUUAUUGGCUCCAUUAGUUUUUGAUGACAAUAAAACAUUCCCAUGUAUGUGUGUCUAAUACCUUUACCUGAGUGUGCAGAAAAUUAAUUUAUAAAAUUAAUUUAUUAACUCUCCAAAGAGUAUUUUUGAUAGAAAAAGAGGGAUAAAAUCAACAAGAUGUAACUGUCUAACAAAGAGGAAGCUUAUUGGUGAAACAAGGAAGAAUGUUGGUUGAUCAAAGUUUCAAAUUGAAGAAAUGGCGAGCUGAAGAGUUUGAGAAACAGAAUCAACUUAGUCUACCAAGACAGUCGACUAACUGCUCUCUGCCAAGAUCUGCAAACUAGAAACAGAAUCAACUUAGUCGACCAAGUCAGUCGACUAAGAGCUUUUUGUUUACAAUUUGAACUAGAGCACUACAAGAUAGAUUAACGGCUAGAACUCAUCCUCAACUAUUUUUAACGGCCAUAAACUGUCAAACUGCCAUCAAAGUUGCAUCUCCAAGUAUAAAAAGGUCUUCCAACAAUUAAAAACAAGUUUUUUUGAAGCCUUGAAUGAGAUUUGAGCUAUAGAAAGUAGAAAAACCAGAAAAGCUUCACUGCACUUGUCUGCACUUAAACACCUACUCUUUGCAUUUGUAUUUAGCACUCAAUCUUGUACCACUCAGAUCAACCAGUGAUCAUAGGUACUUUUUUUUACUACCUUUCUUAUAUUCUUAGAGUGAAGAAGUCACUCUAAGGGGUUAUUCAAGCUUGGGAUAGCUUGAUUGUUGUAAAUUGUUGUUGAGCCUUGAAACACCACUUUGGGUUUUAGUUGAGCCCGUGAAAAACUAGUGUAAAAGGUUGUGGCUGAGCCUUGUUAAGCCAUUAUAAAGCUUGGUGAAAGCUUGUGAAUUUCACCCGUGUUUAGUGAAUUUGUGGGAAAAUCUUUGGUUGGAUAAUCAAGGUAGUGGAUGUAGGUCUUGGACCGAACCACUCUAAAUUGUUGUGCAUCUUAUACUCUGUUUUUAUUUUCUUAAGUUCUGGAAAUUAGUUUCCAAUAUUGUUAAGAGCCAAACUGUGCUAUCCACCCCCCCUCUAGCAUAUAUUAUAGGGACCAACAUCUAUGUCUAUUACUUCACACUUAUUUGAAUCAAAACAUACUUUAAAUCCUUUUUCACAUAAUUAACUAAUGCUCAAUAAAUUAUGCUUCAAACCCUUAACCAAUAACACAUGACUGAUUUGAGUUUGGGAGUUUUUACCAACCACACCUAUCCCAUGAAUUCUACCUUUUGAGUCAUCCCUAAAGGAUAUGGUACCUCCCUUUCUUUUGUCUAGAUAAGGAAAUAACAUUUCAUCUUCUAUCAUGUGUCGUGAACAGCCACUGUCCAUAUACCAAGGCUGCUUCUUCUUGAGUUGAGCUCUUGAACAUGUCUCCUUUAAGUGCAGCUCAACCUACAAAACAAAUUUUCAGUUUUUCUUUAUUGGUACCCAUACUUUGAUGGGUCUUUGAGUGUUAGUUGCAAUAUAGGAUCCUUUUGGAACCCAAAUUUUUCUAACUUUCUGCAGGUUACUUUUCUUAAAAUAGUCAUAUGACAAAUGUCCAUGUUUUCCACAACUAUAACAUCUAGAUGAGGCAUUACUAGAAUUUUUCCUAAAAUAUGAGUUCUUACUUGAUGUUUCCCUUUUUGAACAUUUGAGAGCUGUGUUUUCGUUAAGUGUUUUUUACAAAGCUUCAGAUUUAUUGUCCAGCACUAAUUUUAAAACUUCAAAAUCUAUUUUUGAGUGUUCUAACUCUAUUUGCAGAAAAUUUCUUUGCUAAAAAAUAGAAUUGAAGUCUUGUUUCAUCUUUUCAAAAUCAUUUUCAAGAGACGCAGCCUUUUUCUUUAAUGUUUUGUAUUUUGAAAAAAAGUUUUUCAAAUUCAUCAUAAAGGUUGUAAUACUCAUCUUGUAAAUCAUUAAUGGAAAUAUUACAGGGGGAUGAGGAUACCUCGGUAUCAUCAUCUUGUGCCAUUAGAUAGAGGUUUGCUCUUUCUUCAGAUUUUUCAUCUUCAACUUUAAAGCUUGAUGUGUCACUGUCCGACCAUGCAACUGCCACCAUUGCUUUCUUGGCUUUCUUGUUUUUCUUUGGAGUCUCAUCUUUCAGCAAUGGACAUUCGGACUUGAAGUGGCAAGGUGUCUUACAGUUGUAGCAGAUCAGCUCCUUUUUGUUAGAGUCAUUUUUGUUUCUGAUUUUCCAUGAAGCACCUUGAUUUUUUCUAAACCCUCUUCUAGCUAGUCUCUAGUUUCUUCUACCCAUAAGCUUUCUGAAUUUUCUUGCAACCAAAGCUAACUCUUCAUCAUCAUCACAUGAAAGCUCUUCUAGCUCUUCUUCAAGGACGUUGGCUUUAAGUGCAAUGCUCUUUUUCUUUUCCUUUGCUUCUCUUCUAUUUUUUUCUUCUUCUUCUUUAAGCUCUAGCUCAUAAGUAAGGAGAGAACCACAAAUCUCGUCUAAGGUAAUAACAUUUAAGUCCUUGGCCUCUUGGAUUGCAGUUAUUUUAGGCUUUCAAUUUUUUGGUAGGCUUCGAAUAAGUCUUUUAAGUAUUUCAUGCUCGGGUAUUGGUUUGCCUAGCUAACUCAAUUUAUUUGUGAUGUUUGUGAAUCUAUCUAGCGUGUUGGUGAUGUCUUCACCAGGCUCCAUUUUGAACAUUUCAUAAUUAUAUUUCAUAAUUACUUGAGAAGUCCCUUCAUGGAUUAUUCUAAGUUUAUCCCACACUUGUUUAGCUAUUGUAUAGCUUGAGCCUUUGUUGAAUUCAGUGGGGGUCAAGGCAGAAUACAAUGUAUUAAUGGCCUUAAAAUUUGUUUGGACUCUCUUAGUUUCAACCUCGGUCCAUUUAGACCUUGGCUUGGGCAUCAACUCAUUGGUUACUACAUUCAAAGUUGAGGGAAUAAAGGGUCCAUCAGGUAUGACGUCCCACAUUUCAUAAUCUAUAGCUCUAAUGUAAAUUGACAUCUUAGUGCUCCAAUAAAGAUAGUUAGAGCCAUCAAACAGAGGUGGUUUGUUUGUUGAUUGUCCCUCAGCAACUAUGGGUUUUUGGAGAGCCAUUUGGAUCGUCUAAAAGGCUGUUAGACCUUAAGAACAGGGAACUAGCUCUGGUACCACUUGUUGGUCCCAAUUAUAUGUGCUAGAGGGGGUGAAUAGCACAAAUCGACUCUUGACAAGAUGAGGAACUAAUUUUCAGAACAAAGAAAAUAAAAACAGAGUAGACAAUGCGUAGGAAUUUAAAGUGGUCCGGUCCAAGACCUACAUCCAUUACCUUGAUUAUCCAACAAAGGAUUUUCCAAAGAAUUCCACUAAGAACUGGUGAAAUUCACGAGCUUUCACCAAGCUUUACAAUGGCUUUUACCAGGCUCAGCCAAAACCUUUCACAAUAGUUUUUCACGGGCUAAACUAAAACUCAAAUUUAACUUUUUGAGGCUAAGUUAUAACCUUAACACAUUCAAGCAAAUGUAGCUUGAAACAACCACUUAGAGUGACUCCCUCACUCUAAGAAUACAAGAAGAGAAGUAAAAGAAAGUACUUAUGAUCACAAUGUUCAUCUCAAUGGUACAAGGUUGAGUGCAGAAUACAAAUACAAAAGAUUGGCGUUUAAGUGCAGAAAGGUGCAGAGGAGAUUUUCUAGUUUUUCAGCUCUAUAUGACUCAAAUCUCUUCCAAAACUUCCAAAGAACUGAUUUCUAACCAUUGGAAGACCCUUUUAUUCUUGGAGAAACAGCUUUGAUGGCAGUUUGGCAAUUUAUGACCGUUGAAAAUAGUUGAGAGUUGGUUCUAGCCGUUAAUCUAUCUUCUAGUGUUCUGAUUCAAAUUGCAGAUAGAGAGCUCUUGGUGUACUAACUUUCUUCUUGGUUGACUAAGUUCAUUCUGUCUUCUGGUCACAGAUUCUUGCAGAGAGCAUUUAGUCGACUAACUCAUUUUUUGGUUGACUAAGUUGGUUCUGUUUCUCAACAUUUUUCAGCCCGUCAACCCUUAAUUUAAAUCUUAGCUGACUAACUCUCAAUUGAUAAACUAAGGGACUUUUGCCUUGUUAUUCAAUUGUGACUUCCUUAGCCCUAUGCUCUUUGAUAUGUGCAUUUUAAUGAUAGAUUAUUUAUUUGCAUAUAAUUUUGUCCUACACACUCAAGUAAAAAUAUUAGACACAAAUGAAAUGGGAAUGUUUUAUUAUCAUCAAAAACUAAUGGAGCCAACAUACAGGGAGUUAAUAGGGUUGUAGAGAUGAUGGCAACCUGUAUGGACAACAUACAGAGGAUAGUCAAGGGGAGACAUACAGCACAAGCAUCCCCUAGCUCACAAGGACAGGUUAUCGCCAACAUCCAGAGGUUGAGAGGGGUCAUGUAGAGGUUUCACUUUCUAACUUCAUGAAGCUUAAGCCUCCGUUGUUUACAGGGUCUGAUGCUUUGGAGAAACCCAGGUUUUCUUAGACAGGAUGGAAAAGAUUUGUGAGGCCCUGGGAUGUUCUAGUACUAGAUAAGUGAAGCUAGCCGCUUUUCGAUUAGAACAUAUGGCACAAGAGUGGUAUGGCUCCUUGCGUAGAGGUAGGCCGGCAAAUGCAACACCAUUGACUUGGAAAGAGUUUAGUAUAGAGUUCCUGAAUCGAUUCUUAACCAACAGUGUACGAAAUGCAAGAGCUAGGGAGUUUGAGGCACUAAUACAGACCCCAAGUAUAACGGUGUCAAAAUAUGACAUCAAAUUUACACAGUUAGCUCGGUAUGCACCCUAUUUAGUUUCUACAUAGGAGAUAAAGAUUCAAAGAUUUAUGGAUGGGCUAGUGAAGCCAUUGUUUAGGGCUAUAACAUCCAAGGAUUUUGACACCUACUCCACAACCGUAGACUGUGCUCAAUGGAUUGAGAUAAGGACCAACGAGAGUAGAGCUAUUAGGGAUAGAGUCAAGCGAGCCAAGAUAAAGGGCCAUCAAGGUCGUAGAGACUUUAGUAGUGGUAUUUCUUCUUCUGGCCAUCAAGGCCUACAGAGGGACUCACGAUUACCCCAACAAGGGAGUGACUUGGCUAGUGGCAGCAUUGGAGUAUAACGGAAAACUUUUAGUGUGGGGAGGUAGCAAGAUUCAAGGCAAGGUAGUCAAGCUAUGAGGGACGACAUAGAGGAAGAUGCUUCCGUACUACGAGAGUUUGUUAUGAGUGUGGUCAACCUAGACACCUACAGAGGAGUUACCCGAUGGCUCAUCAAUUACAAGAUUCUGCUCGUAACUCUACCCAACCAGCUUCGUCUACUCCUUUAGUAGCUGCCCCAUCUAAUUGGGAGGCUAGCAGAUCAAGAGGUAGAAGUGUUGCUACUUCCUCUCAAAGUAGGCCAUCUGGGUCUGAGUGCCAGAGUUCUGCUGGUAAGGGUCACGCAAGGGUAUUUGCUUUAACACUGUAAGAGUCUCAAACAUCCAACGCAGUGGUCUCAAGUAUUCUUUCAAUUUGUAAUAUGAAUGCUCGAGUAUUGUUUGAUCUUGGUGCUACCCACUCUUUUAUUUCUCCAUGUUUUGCAUCUCAUUUGGGUAAAGAUCGUGUUAUGAGAGAAGAACAAUUAGUGGUGUCUACCCUUUUAAGGGAGGUAUUUGUGGUAGAAUGGGAAUAUAGGUCCUGUGUAGUUCGGGUCAAAGACAAAGAUACCUUGGUAAACCUAAUGGUAUUAGACACCUUAGAUUUUGACUUGAUCUUGGGAAUGGAUUGGCUAUCGCCUUGCCAUGCCAGCGUGGACUGUUAACAUAAAUUGGUUAGAUUUAAUUUUCCAAGCAAGCCAUCAUUUAGUAUUCAAGGGGAUAAGAGCAAUGCUUCAACUAAUUUAAUAUCAAUCAUGUCGACUAAGAGGCUAUUAAGACAGGGUUGUCUAGGUUAUCUGGCUAUUGUGAGAGAUACCCAAGUGUCGGUAGUGAAUGAGUUUGUGGAUGUAUUUCCAGAUGAACUACCAAGGUUGCCUUCCAAGCGGGAGAUUGAAUUUUGUAUAGACUUGAUUCCGGACACUAGACCCAUAUCCAUACCCCCAUAUAGAAUGGCACCUGCGGAGUUUAAGAAACUUAAGGAUCAACUAAAAGAUUUGCUAGACAAAGGUUUCAUCCGCCUUAGUGUCUCACCAUGGGGAGCACUGGUGCUAUUUGUAAAGAAGAAAUAUAGGUCACUUAGGUUGUGUAUUGACUACCGACAGCUGAAUAAAAUGACAGUGAAGAAUAAGUACCCCCUUCCGAGAAUAAAGGAUUUAUUUGAUCAACUCUAAAAAGCAUAAUGUUUCUCUAAAAUCGAUCUACAUCUAGGUACCAUCAAUUAAGGAUCAGGAAUGAGGACUACCAAAGACCGCAUUUCGAUCAAGAUAUAGGCAUUAUGAGUUUUUAAUGAUGUCAUUCAGACUUACAAACGCCCUUGCAGCAUUUAUGGAUUUGAUGAACCGAGUGUUCAAGCCUUAUUUGAACAAGUUUGUGGUGGUAUUUAUUGAUGACAUCUUGAUAUACUCAAGGAGCCAAGUGGAACACAAGCAACACCUUAAGAUAGUGGUCCAAACUUUGAGAGAACAUCGAUUAUAUGCCAAGUUCUCCAAGUGUGAGUUUUGGCUCGAAAGUGUUGCAUUAUUAGGACAUGUGGUCUCUAAAGAUGGGGUAUAAGUCAAUCCAAAGAAAGUUGAGGUAGUAGAAAAAUGGACAACGCUAACCUCAGUUACAAAGAUUAUAAGCUUUUUAGGUUUGGUUGGCUAUUAUCGUCGUUUUGUGAAGGAUUUUUCCAAGAUAGCCACUUCUCUAACCAAGCUGACACAUAAGGACACAAAGUUUGUGUGGUCUAACGUUUAUGAGGAAAACUUUGAGAAGCUUAAGACUUGUCUCACCACAGCUCUAGUAUUAAGCCUAUCGCAAGGCACAAAGGGGUUGUACAAUAUUUUGUGCUGCAUCUCGGGUUAGUUUAAGGUGUGUAUUAAGCAGCAUGGGAAGGUGAUUGCAUAUGCUGAUGGGUUUGACUAUGGAUGGCAUGCUCAAAAUACGCAGUGGAAAGAAAAUUAAAAAUUUUAUAACUAAAAAACAAAACAUGCCUCCACCCAUGGAUCACCUUGGUGAUGUUUAACACAUAAAAGUACAAAAUAAAUUAUUGUUUAGAAAGUUACCUUGCCAUGUAAUUUCGUAAUCAUGACGGCACUUUCCGAAGCAAUCUCGCGAGCACCACAACGAGCAAAAACCCUAGCCAAUCAAGUGUUUGGCCUCCAAUGGUAGUACACACGAUUGCACUUGAACCGUCAACAAAGGAAUGACUUUUUAACUAUACUUUGUGCUAGCAAAGAGGACAACAAUUGCCCUUUUCUUCUUUUUCACAAUCUUAGCCAAACCUCUCUUGAAAAUUGCUUCAUCAACAAUUUUCUCUUUCACACAAAGGGAGUGGGGGCAAAGAAAGAAAACAUUUUUCUUUUUUCUGACAAAAACUACGUUUUCUUCAAUUGUGAAAAACUCUCAUAAGGAAAAUAGUUAAAAGGUGACUUAUAUAGUUAGGUUAAAAUAACUUCAAUUUUGCAAUUAAGCCCUCAAUAUUAUAACACAUUAUAAUAUUGGGCCCAUUACUUAAUUAAACUCUUUUAAAUAAGUCCUUGGAAAUUCAAAUCAAAAUUAAUUUCCUUUAUAUUUUGCAAUUAAGGCCUUAUAGUUAUAACUAUUUAUAAUUAUGCCAAAAACUUAAUUAAACUCUUUUAAUUAAGUUUAUAGAAGUUAAUUACCUAGCAUGUGAUUUAAGUCUAACUUAAAUCGUCACUCUCCCAAUUUAAUUCAACUGCAAUCAUUGUGUGUGACCCAUUAGGUUCCCAACAUAUUGGCAAUGGAAUUGAUUAAUGGCUUAAUUGAUUAAUAUAAAUUUCAAUCAAUCAAUUUAUAAUCAAUUCCAUAGACCAAGAUUAGCAUCUAGCAAUGCAUCAUGGCCACCCAAUUGUUCAGAGAGUCAAAGGGUUCUUUGACAACCUUUCAGUGUACAGUCUAUCAGUGUAAUUCAUUCCCUCAUCACAUAUCCUGAAGAUGAUAAGAGCUUGGUACAGUGUCUACUCUUAUUGACCUCCAUAUUGGUUCCUGAAAUUAUAGCAUUAGCUUUAUAGAGAGUUAUGAAACCUUUUUCAUAAUCUUUAUGUCGCCUUGGCCAAGGACUUCAAUAAGCUAAUGUUAACCAAAAACUGAUAGGAUAUGUCCUCUAAAACAGUUGAGGUGAUGAUUCCUAUCUUGACCACUCAUUUGCCUUCACAUGCUUCAUAUUAUACCCAAAAGCAUCCUCUUUUGGCAUCCUUGGUUAGACACCCGUAGAGAUGAAAUCAAAGUAUCGCACUCCACACAUAAGACAACCUGGUGUCUCAAGUCUAGGGAGUAUUUACACAACUGACACAUAAAAAGUGUUGCAUAGACACUAGAGUGUAUUACCAAAUGCACUUCUCAUGGAGGAUCAUGUUCAGUGAACUUGCUCUCCUAGGCAAGCACCUAUAUUCUAGUUCCAAGUAUCUCUAUACUUCAAUCUAUGAAAUCGAUUGCUUACUUCCAAAGUAAGGAUCAUAGAAUAUACCAGUCUUUAAGCAUCAUUGAUGUCCAAUCUCAAUGAUACAUUGACAAGGAACAUUUUUGAGAUUUUGCUUU